rnacentral:rRNA from 1 species
GAUUAAAGUGGCACGCGAGCUGGGUUCAGAACGUCGUGAGACAGUUCGGUCCCUAUCUGUGGUGGGCGUUGAGAAUUGAGAGGACCUGACUCUAGUACGAGAGGACCGAGUUGGACAGACCUCUGGUGUACCUGUUGUGGCGCCAGCUGCAUCGCAGGGUAGCUAUGUCUGGAAUGGAUAAGCGCUGAAAGCAUCUAAGCGCGAAGCCAACCUCAAGAUGAGUUCUCGUUUGAGGGCCGUUAUAGACGAUGACGUUGAUAGGCUACAGGUGUAAAGUCAGUAAUGGCAAAGCCGAGUAGUACUAAUUGCCCAAAACUUUUUACG